rnacentral:rRNA from 1 species
ACGAACGCUGGCGGCGUGCCUAAUACAUGCAAGUCGAACGGUCUUUCUAUGGAAGCUUGCUUCCACUGAGAAGAUAGUGGCGAACGGGUGAGUAACACGUGGGUAACCUGCCCAUAAGAGGGGGAUAACAUCCGGAAACGGGUGCUAAUACCGCAUAGUUUUCUUGAUCGCAUGAUUGAGAAAGGAAAGACGGCCUUUGUGCUGUCGCUUAUGGAUGGACCCGCGGCGUAUUAGUUAGUUGGUGAGGUAACGGCUCACCAAGACGAUGAUACGUAGCCGACCUGAGAGGGUGAUCGGCCACAUUGGGACUGAGACACGGCCCAAACUCCUACGGGAGGCAGCAGUAGGGAAUCUUCCGCAAUGGACGAAAGCCUGACGGAGCAACGCCGCGUGAGUGAAGAAGGUUUUCGGAAUCGUAAAACUCUGUUGUCAGAGAAGAACAAGUUGGAGAGUAACUGCUCCAGCCUUGACGGUAUCUGACCAGAAAGCCACGGCUAACUACGUGCCAGCAGCAGC